AGGGGCCGGGCUUGCCCUCUGGCCCCUCGAUGCUCCUCGGUGCCCCCUUCUCCGGGCACAGAAGGCCCAAGUGUACAUGGGAGGGAGGCAGAGGCAGACAGGGUGUGGCCGGGCACUGUGGCCAGGGCAGCUGGGUGAGCUUGGUCAUGCCAAGGAAGGCCUGGGUCAUGGGUCCUGCUUGAUCCUCCUGGCCCCAGCUAAGAGGGGAGAGAGGAGGCCCCACCGCCCCGGCAGCACCUAGCAGGGGGCUCCCCCUUGCCCACGUCCCCCGGAGACAGCAAGAUGCUCCAUCCAGGCCCCUUCGCAGCGGCGCGCGAAGGCAGAGGGACGGAGGGCCCCUGCUCCAAGCCGCCUCCGGGGGCUGGGAGGCGGGGAGAGGGCGGGCCGGCGCGGGGGAGGGGCCGCCGCCGCUAUAAAGGCCCGGCCCGCGGCCCCGCUCCAGCCCGGGACGCACACGUGCGCGCUGCGCCGCCGCAGCCGCCACUGCGGGAGCCACCGCCGGAGCCGGAGCCCGAGACCCGCGCCUCCCUGGCCCGGCGGCCGGCGGCGGCGGCAUGCGCUGCGCUCAGCGGAGCUGACGGCGGCCGCCGGCCCACGUCCUUAGCCAUGCUGCGCUCGGCGCCGCCCGGCCGCUACCUGUACCCCGAGGUGAGCCCGCUGUCGGAGGACGAGGACCGUGGCAGCGAGAGCUCGGGCUCCGACGAGAAGCCCUGCCGCGUGCACGCGGCGCGCUGCAGCCUCCAGGGCGGCCGGAGGCGGGCCGGGGGCCGGCGGGCGGGGGGCGGCGGCAGCGGCGGCCCGGGGGCCGGGGGGCGGCCGGGCCGCGAGCCCCGGCAGCGACACACGGCGAACGCGCGCGAGCGGGACCGCACCAACAGUGUGAACACGGCCUUCACGGCGCUGCGCACGCUCAUCCCCACCGAGCCGGCCGACCGCAAGCUGUCCAAGAUCGAGACCCUGCGCCUGGCCUCCAGCUACAUCUCGCACCUGGGCAACGUGCUGCUGGUGGGCGAGGCCUGCGGCGACGGGCAGCCGUGCCACUCGGGGCCCGCCUUCUUCCACGCGGCGCGCGCGGGCAGCCCCCCGCCCCCGCCCCCGCCGCCCCCCGCCCGCGACGGCGAGAACGCCCAGCCCAAACAGAUCUGCACCUUCUGCCUCAGCAACCAGAGAAAGUUGACAGCACGCGCGAGCUCCUGGGGCCUGAACAUCUGGGAAAUUUAAUUUUACAAUUUCGGCUGUGCAGCAGUGUUCUCCUCCCCAAACUGCACGGGGAAGAUGGGAGCAAGGACCGCGACAGGAAGACUGCGAUUCGGAGUUAGAGGCCGAUGCGGCCGGCCGGCCACGCAGAGCCCCCGUGGGCCUGACUCCCCGAGGGCGCCCCCAGCCCAGCCCUGCCCUGCCCCCCGGCCGUGAGCGGGGCCAAUGGACAGACAGGCAGCAGGACGCGGAGCUGGCCCCAGCACUUGCCCAGGGCCACUGGAACUUUCCGUGCUGGCUUCCUACCCAGUUUCUUCUGGUCACUCUGUGCUGGCAUCUUGUGCCUUUGAUAUGAUAAUAUAAAGUCUGGAAAUUUUGUAUAAUUAAAAAACAAAACAGUAUCUUCCAAA